UACGUAGGGGGCAAGCGUUGUCCGGAAUCAUUGGGCGUAAAGAGCGUGUAGGCGGCCAGAUAAGUCCGCUGUGAAAUCUCGAGGCUCAACUUCGAGCUGUCGGUGGAAACUGUCUGGCUAGAGUCCGGAAGAGGAGAGUGGAAUUCCUGGUGUAGCGGUGAAAUGCGCAGAUAUCAGGAGGAACACCGGUGGCGAAGGCGGUUCUCUGGGCCUUACCUGACGCUGAGGAGCGAAAGCGUGGGGAGCGAACAGG
rnacentral:rRNA from 1 species